AAAGGAACUUGGAGAAGAUAAUUGCCCAAGGUCACACAGCCAGGGAGAUCUGGAAGUUGACAUCUGAUUCUAAGCCCACAGUCUUAACCACCAGGUGGUGCAUUUUCCCAAUAGACUAACCUUACACCCUCCUGCAGAGUCUGAUACUACUUUACUUUCUUGAGAUCUGUGAUGUCUUCCUAUCCAGAUAUGAACUGCAUGAGAGUUAGUCUGGGCUUACUGUUUAUCCCUUGUUCCUAACAUAUAGUUAGAAUUAAAAACAACAACAAUAACAACAACUGAAUUUGAUUGGGGGCCAGUUUCCAAUUCAUGGCAAUCCUAUGAGAAACCUAGCAUGGUAAGCAGAGUGACUCUAAAACCAACAUAGUGAGGACCUUCUGAGCACAUGGCCUGUGGUGGGCACUGUUGGGUGCUUUCACACAGAGUGAUUUUCAGGUAGGUAGGUUAGUCUGCUUUCUGUCACUUUAACAAGUAUCUGAGACAAUCCCUUAUAAGGAGAAACGUACAAGGGUUUUGGAGGUUCCAGUCCAUGACUGGCUGGGCCUGUGGCUUCGGGCUUGUGGCAAGACAGCACUAUAACAGCAAGAGCGCAUAUAGCAGGGCACUCAUGGCUGGAAGCCAAAGAGAGAACUAAGAAGAGUCUGGAGUCCCUAUUUUGCUUUGGGACAUCCUUGAGGACCUUCCUACUAGGCCCCGUCUCUUAAAAGUCAACCACCUCCCAACAACAUCUUCCUGGGGAAUAAACCUCCAAUUGGGGGACAUUUGAGAUCCAAAUUACAGCAAUAUUCUUCUUAGUUGCAUACAAAAGGAGACUCAGAAUUCUGACACUUAAUCUUGACUCACACUUCCUGUAAGUGGCAGAGCCAGGAUUUGAACUCAGGUCAGAAACAACAGAUGAUAUCAAC
rnacentral:lncRNA from 1 species